ACUAGGUAGUAUUCUAAAAUACCAUAUGAACAGAUAGAGUUUAGUGAAGGAGAGUUCAGAAUGAAAAGCAUUGUGGGUACUUCACAUCACAUCAUCAUGAGUUAACUGCACUGAUUUCAUGAAAAAGCCCAAUGCGUGUGUUGUUUGAGACGCUAAAGAGUUUCUUCCUUUGCAGGCUCUUCAGAGGUUAGCUGUCCAGUACCAGAAAAGAGACUGGCAACGAGGAAACACAGAUGCCACCGCCUCUGGGAGUGUGUUUGGUGUGUGGCGGUCAGUGGUAGAUGCUACAGCUCAGUCUGCCGCAUCGCGACUAGUUGCUGCAGAGGAGUACCGCCGCCUGAUUGGACAGGUCUCCAGAAGUCUUCGCAAUGCAAAGGACAUCCGAGCUAAGAGAGGUCUGGAGGAGCUGCAGAGGGUCCAGGGGGAGCUGGUGGAUGCUCUGAGGGAGCUGCAGCGCUUCAAGAAGAGCUACUACCAGCUGAGUCACAUCACCACUGUCGCCAGAGAGAAGUCAGCUGAUGCACAAACCAGGGCCAGAAAGAGUGAACAUGGGAUCUUCCACUUUAAGACAGGACUACAAAAGAUGACUGCUAAG